rnacentral:rRNA from 1 species
UACAGAGGUCUCGAGCGUUAGGCGGAAUCACUGGGCUUAAAGGGCGCGUAGGCGGGCAUUCAAGUCCGUGGUGAAAUCCGGCAGCUCAACUGUCGAACUGCCGCGGAUACUGGGUGUCUCGAGGGAGGUAGGGGCGUGCGGAACUAUUGGUGGAGCGGUGAAAUGCGUUGAUAUCAAUAGGAACUCCGGUGGCGAAGGCGGCACGCUGGACCUUUUCUGACGCUGAGGCGCGAAAGCCAGGGGAGCAAACGGG